GUUGGCAGUUAUUUCGUAAUAUUAUUAUGAUUAUAUGUCUGUAUUCGCUCUGACAAACGCAAUUAUUCAAAUUAAGUGAAGAAAGAAGUACUUGCGUGCAUAUCAAUAUUACAAUUUAUAUGAUUUAUUUAUCUAUAAUAGACAUUAUCCUAAAAAAUACGAUAAUUUCGAUCCAUGUACGAUAAUUUUUACUCCCCUGGUACGAUAGUCAGUCCACUUCAAGUUGCUAACGCUGCGGCUACUUCUAGCGUUUGCAGUUUGCACAUGUAUGUAGCUCUCGUGUUCCAUUUUGCAUAUUUUUGGUAUUGAAAUCGAAGUGUAAGUGCGUCGAGUCGAGCCUUGUGCUCCUCCGCCUUGCUGUUGCGAAUUCACUCCAAAAAUCUCCUUAUUCCUGUGUAUUUCUACUUUUUGUGAUAGAGACACUUUUGUUUGUGGAAUUUAUGAACUUUGGUGUAAUGCCGAGACGUUGUGCUUUCGGUUGUGCGCUCCGUGGACAACUACAGAGUCAAGUAAUCUUAGGACAAGCUUCAUCCACACAACAUUUACUGCCUACACUAAUACAGCAAGACUGUUCAGAGCCAUAUGUGAGCAACUUUAUUUUAGAAAAAGCAUCAACUUCAACAACAUUCCAACCUGUGGCUGCAGAUGCAUCUCAAGGUGCUUGAUGCUGGAACAUAAUUAUAGUUUUAUUAGCAAGCCUGAAAGAACACCUGGAAAAGAUCUAAUGGCUCCACAGCGCACAAAGAUCAAGCAUCUUCAAGCAGAAAUAUCGCGCUUGCGAAAAAAUGGACAAUCUUUCAAAGCAAGGUUAAAAGGUGGUGCAGAUCGAUCAAUCGAAUUUUGUCAGGAAACAUAACAUAUGUGGGUGAAGGCGAAAGAAAACCAACAAUAUUAUGAUAAACAUAAACAUUAUAAAAACAAAACAUAAUAUGCAAA